rnacentral:snRNA from 1 species
GUGUUUCCUUCAGCAGCACAUACACUAAAAUUGGAACAAUACAGAGAUUAGUGUGGUCCCUAUGCAAGGAUGACAUGCAAAUUUGUGAAGCAUUUCAUAUAUAA